UUAUGCAUUAGAAAGCUGAUAGUAAUAAAGAAGUGCAAUACUAAAUAAUAAAAUUACAUUUACAUCCAUUUAUGCUGAAAAAAGAUGAUAUCUGUGUUCAUUAUUAUAUGAAUUCAAUGGUUUUAAUUAUUCUUAUGUAAGCAGUAAAACAAGUACAUCUCUGACGUUUAUAACAAACCAAGCUGUUGUAAAAUCGGUUGAAAAUUGAGCAAUCUACAGUGAUUUUAAAAUCCAUGCUCCAUUGACUUUAAUGUUAUGAGUGAUCGAGCAGCCCUGUCCCAAGAUGGCCGCCAUGUGGCGACGUUGCUCCCCAUAGGCUGACAGCGCUCAUGAGCCAUCUAGUGUUUGUAUAUAUCUAUGGUCAGGCCAUUAUGAAAUAACCACCAAGAAAUAAAAUGCAAAUCAGUUUGCUUUCACUUGGUGGACUGAGCUGUCAAUCAAAUGGCUCUAGGCGGGGCUUCCUCGUCGUUCCUGAUCACAGGCAUAUGAAGAGUAGAUACGACACGCCCCUCUGAGCGGCGUCCCGACGGAGACGCUAAGCGAGUGGGGGCAAAGUUUCAGUGUUUUCCAUUGAUGUGUACGGCACGAAAAUUAAAACAAGAAGAAUGCCGGCUCAGUGUGCGGCAUACAGUUCCACACUCCAUCGGACGAUCAAGACAAGGAAACUUGGAAUAACUUUCCACAGGGUGGGGAAAAUGUUGCUGUGGCCCAUUACAUGGUGAGCCAGAGAGGAACAGGCCGACAUUCCCACAUCACUGGACGCAGUGUACAUAAUCAAAGAAUUAAAAGAUUAUGGCGAGAUGUGUAUGGAAAUGUCCUUGACUUGUUCCACACACUAUUUCUCAAUUUGGAAGUGGAAGGGUUUCUAAACCCUGAAAAUGAACUGGAGUUAUUCACUCUCCACUGGACCUACGUCCCACAGCUGCAGCAGCAUCUUCAGGCAUUCAAGGAAGCCUGGACUCACCAUAGUUUGAGGACAGAGAGAGGGCAAUCCCCCAUGCAACUGUGGCUUAGUCAGCCGCGUGAGGGAAAUGCUGCUGAUCCAGUUGAGGUUGCUGCUGAUUAUGGGAUAGACUGGACAGGACCUCACACCCCAUACCCAGAAGGCGUCACUGUACCUGAUGCACAACUACCCCGGCAGCUUACACAGGCUGAAGUUACAUCAUUGCCUGAUCCGGCCGUCCCUUUUUCUGCUGCACUACGGGCAUACAUGGAUACAGUGUAUAUUCUUAAGGACAUUUUUCAACAAACCUAGACAUAUCACAACUCACCUUAACAGAAUCAGAAUGAAACGAACAAGACUCAAAAGAAUGCUGCAAAUUUUUGGUGCAUAAUUUUAUGACCAGUUGUGAAUUUCAAAUAAAUGCCUUUGAAAACUACAAUGUACAAAGACACAGCAAAGGGAUAUAAAACUGCUUUUAUUGCAUGCUGAAUAGUUUGACAGCUUUUAAAAGCAUCAAAACAAUGUGCCAAUAAAAAGGUUUAAUAGAACUGACAA